AGCAGUGUAGCAUAGUGGUUAAGGUGCAGGGCUCGUAACUGUAAGGUUGCUUGUUCGAUUCCCCGCUGGGG